rnacentral:lncRNA from 1 species
UCACUAAUGAUUUACACAAUCACGUGUUCCUGUAAUUCUCCAUCCGUGUCAGUGUGCCUGUUGUAAGUGGGGAAUCCCCACAGUCAGCAGUGAAGGUGCUUAUGGAAGACCUUGUAAUAACAAGGAUGGACACCCCAAGAGUCACCUGAGAAAGGUGGAGAUGAGGGGCAGACACACACGCAGGACACAAAUCUCCUGUUAUCUUCAAUGCUUUUUAAAGGAACUCGGCUUGUUUCCUGAGAAAUGCCACCGCUGGAAUGUUCCCAGGGGCCGGCAGGGGAACUCUGGAGUGACUCAGGCAGAGAGGACUGGAACCAGGAAAG